GAUGAACGCUGGCGGCGUGCCUAAUACAUGCAAGUCGAGCGAACGGACGAGAAGCUUGCUUCUCUGAUGUUAGCGGCGGACGGGUGAGUAACACGUGGAUAACCUACCUAUAAGACUGGGAUAACUUCGGGAAACCGUAGCUAAUACCGGAUAAUAUUUUGAACCGCAUGGUUCAAAAGUGAAAGACGGUCUUGCUGUCACUUAUAGAUGGAUCCGCGCUGCAUUAGCUAGUUGGUAAGGUAACGGCUUACCAAGGCAACGAUGCGUAGCCGACCUGAGAGGGUGAUCGGCCACACUGGAACUGAGACACGGUCCAGACUCCUACGGGAGGCAGCAGUAGGGAAUCUUCCGCAAUGGGCGAAAGCCUGACGGAGCAACGCCGCGUGAGUGAUGAAGGUCUUCGGAUCGUAAAACUCUGUUAUUAGGGAAGAACAUAUGUGUAAGUAACUGUGCACAUCUUGACGGUACCUAAUCAGAAAGCCACGGCUAACUACGU
rnacentral:rRNA from 1 species